UACGUAGGGGGCAAGCGUUGUCCGGAUUUAUUGGGCGUAAAGAGCGUGUAGGCGGCCAGGUAGGUCGGUUGUGAAAACUAGAGGCUUAACCUCUAGACGUCGACCGAAGCCAUCUGGCUAGAGUCCGGAAGAGGAGAGUGGAAUUCCUGGUGUAGCGGUGAAAUGCGCAGAUAUCAGGAAGAACACCCGUGGCGAAAGCGGCUCUCUGGGACGGUACUGACGCUGAGACGCGAAAGCGUGGGGAGCGAACAGG
rnacentral:rRNA from 1 species